GUGUCAGCAGCCGCGGUAAUACGUAGGUUGCGAGCGUUGUCCGGAUUUACUGGGCGUAAAGCGCACGCAGGCGGUUCCGAAAGUCGAAUGUGAAAGCUCCUGGCCCAACUGGGAGAGGCCGUUCGAAACUUCGGGACUUGAAGGCGGGAGAGGCAGAUGGAAUUUCCGGUGUAGCGGUAAAAUGCGUAGAUACCGGAAGGAACACCAGUGGCGAAAGCGAUCUGCUGGCCCGCCCUUGACGCUCAGGUGCGAAAGCUAGGGGAGCGACCGGGAUUAGAAACCCCCGUAGUCC
rnacentral:rRNA from 1 species